GCCUUCGCAUACGCUCCGCAUUCUGUGUCAGUACGAAGCGUCUUUACACGUUUUUCAUGGACAGUAGAACUUUGGCGUUGAUUCUUCUCUUGCUUGGAUUCGUUGUUCUCACCGCGGCAACAUAUAAACGCAUUGAACCUGGAUCACUAGAAGAACUUCACGCUGCAUUAAACACCACUGGUCCCAUCUGGCUGCUCAAUCGUACUUUUGAAGUUACGGGAUACACAUGCGUAUAUAUAAAAAAGUGGAUUUGACAGACAAUUACUAUGUAUUCGACCUGAGUUACGUGGACAAUGACAAUGCACGUAACACAUUGCGCCGAAACGCGACGCUUGCUGUGGACACAGAGAAAAAACUGGGAAGUGUGAUGUUCGUCGCUCAAGCAGG